AAGGAAUCCCCAAUUAUGAGAAAGAGGAGUCUGUUCGAAGUGAUGUAAUCAAUUCGAGUAUUCGGGUUACGGACAAUGGAAGGGCGAGCAUUAACAGGAAGGUUUGCUUCGUUUUCACUCUUUACAGUACUUCAUAUGAUAAUGAUCAGCUUAAGGCAAGUAAAACUGUGAGCUGUGUCGAUUUUGAUGUUGAACGUAUUACCUAUGUU